rnacentral:rRNA from 1 species
UACGGAGGGUGCAAGCGUUAUCCGGAUUCACUGGGUUUAAAGGGUGCGUAGGUGGGCAGGUAAGUCAGUGGUGAAAUCUUUGGGCUUAACCCGAAAACUGCCAUUGAUACUAUUUGUCUUGAAUAUUGUGGAGGUCAGCGGAAUAUGUCAUGUAGCGGUGAAAUGCUUAGAUAUGACAUAGAACACCAAUUGCGAAGGCAGCUGGCUACGCAUAUAUUGACACUGAUGCACGAAAGCGUGGGGAGCAAACAGG